GAAAUUAAGGUGCUUCGCUGCAACUUGAAUAAUGCAACAGAAGCGGAACAGUGGAUACGCAAUUACAGCGCCGAAACCAACACAUCGUGGAUUAUGGACUACGUGGCCACAAAAUGCACAAGAAUGGUCUUCCGCAAGGUGUGGCGGUGUCAACACCACCACCGAAACAAAAUGACCGUACAGCACACCACUGACUGCCCAGCAAAAAUAAACAUAAAAAUUAAAAAAGUGGACCCCGACACCCAAAAAAAUGAUGAGUAUUUGCGCAGAAGCACUCCCCUCCCAGCUGUGAUCAAAUUGGCCACAACACAUAAUCACAGCACAGAGUUUGCUGAUUCGCUAAAGCUACUGCGUGCUAGCCCAGAAACAAAGGCCACAUUCGAAGCGUAUUUCGAGGCUAGUUUCACGCCUGCAACUGCCAUUCGGCACCACGAGGAGGCACUGGCACUGAAAGACAACAGCCACAUUUUGCUUGCCAACAGCAUGGUGAAUCCAACACAAAGGACUGUUUAUCACUGGCACAAAGAAUGAAAGCUAGCAAAGUAUGGUCUUCUAGCAAAUCCUCUACCGAAACUCCAAGAAAAGUUGGCAGACUAUGCAGCACAAGGAACAUGCAUCUACACAGCUGGCACACCAAACUGCUGGGCGGUGCUUGUGGUUACCCCUAUCAUGCAGCGAGCUCAGUCUCUGGACGCCGCACAGGAGAUAAUUUUUGUGGAUUCAACGUCCUCAUGUGAUGUG